rnacentral:rRNA from 1 species
AUGCGAACUAACCUUUGUCACCAUGACUUGGAAGGAUUUCAGAACAAAUUCAAUCCAUUAUCAGUUAACCUAGGUAAUAAGCACGAUAACUUAGGGACUGGGACAAAAGAACACGAGUUGAACAUGUUCAGAACAGUGUGCAGAGUUUCAAGUUCAAGGAUAUAUAGCAUUCUAUUAACUUCCAAUGUAGUUAUAGAGAGAAAUAAAAUUCUGAUCUUUCGGCUAAAUGACUUUCAUUUUCUUAACCAGUCUGAUGAUGCACAUAGUGCAGAGAAAUUAACAAUUGAGAAAAAGUACAAUAAAUACUUUGAGAAAAUAUUAAAAUUACUUUCAUAA